rnacentral:rRNA from 1 species
AGUGAACGCUGGCGGCGUGCCUAAUACAUGCAAGUCGAACGGAGUGGCGCACGGGUGAGUAAUAUAUAGCUAAUCUGCCCCUUGCUGGAGGACAACAGAUAGAAAUGACUGCUAAUACCCCAUAGCAAGGGAUGAGACUAUAUCGUAUCAGCUAGUCGGUGGGGUAACGGGCUACCGAGGCGAUGACGCGUAACUUGUCUGCGAGGAUGAUCACUCGCAUUGGAACGGAGCCACGGUCCAAACUCCUACGUGAGUCAGCAGUAGGGUAUAUUGCGCAAGGGGGGCAAACGUGACGCAGCAACGCCGCGUAGAGGAUGUCACUUUUCGGGGCGUGUAUUCCUUUUGUUAGGGUAGCGGUACCUACCGAAUAAGCACCGGCUAACUCCGUGCCAGCCGCCGCGGUAAUUC